rnacentral:rRNA from 1 species
CCUACGGGUGGCAGCAGUGGGGAAUAUUGGGCAAUGGGCGCAAGUCUGAACCAGCAACGCCGCGUGAAGGAAGAAGGCUUUCGGGUUGUAAAAUUCUUUUCUGAGGGACGAAGAAAGUACCGGUACCUCAGGAAUAAGCCACGGCUAACUACGUGCCAGCAGCAGCGGUAAGACGGAGGUGGCAAGAGUUAUCCGGAUUUAUUGGGUGUAAAGGGCGUGGAGGCGGGAAAGCAAGUCAGAUGUGAAAACUCAGGGCUCAACCCUGAGCCUGCAUUUGAAACUGUUUUUCUUGAGUGCUGGUGAGGCAAUCGGAAUGCCGGGUGUAGCGGUGAAAUGCGUAGAGAUACGGAGGAACACCAGUGGCGAAGGCGGAUUGCUAGACAGUAACUGACGCUGAGGCGCGAAAGCGUGGGGAGCAAACAGGAUUAGAUACCCUUGUAGUC